CAAAAAGGUAUGUUAACUAUUUGUGUGAAAAUUAGCUGAUUGUAGAGUUUCAACAAAAUUGUAAUUUCCUGAUCAAUCAUUUUACCAUUUCAAAGUUGAAUAUUAAUUAGCGUUAAUCAUGAUGAUUUCAGCUGACAACAAAUUGAACUUGUAAAACACUUGAUGGUGGAGGGAUGAUCAUGAAUGAUGGCUUUUAUUGAUGGAUCAACUCUGAUUUGUGAGACUUGAAACACACAAAAGAAGCGAGUUUAUAUAGCAGAGCACCUUUUGAUAACUUUGGCUCUUGAAAUGUGCUCAAUUUAAGCUGAUUCAUAUGAAAAAAAUAUUCAACCAUUACAAUUGAGCUUUUGAUUGCCAUUAUUUACUCGUGUUUUGUCAUGGUUUUAAAAGACACAAAUUGAUGUUGAGUUUGGAAACCUUCACAAUCAAGAUAACAAGAUAUGUUGAUACAGAUACUGAUGUAGUCUUGUAAACUGGUGAUGAAAAGCAAUGUGAUUUUAAAGGUUUAACCUUUUUUACAACUUAUCACAUUUUGAUUGAUAAUUUAUAUAUAUUUGGGUUUCCUUAGACAGUCAACGAACUGUUCAUCUUAGCCUGAACAUUGACCGCCAACUUCACAUGGACAUUGGGCUAUGAAUGGCUAUAAAUAUACGUCAAAAUUUAUCUCAAUUAUAUCAUGAUAAGCUUUUAAACUAAACUCUUGACUUUUCUCAACCAGUUUUUCAACCCUUUUUUCAAGAAAAAAAUGUGUCCAUCAGCUCUGUGUUAAUCAACCAAAUCAACUUUGAUCAUUUUCGGGCUUCUCUUUUUUACUCUCUCAUGUUUGCCUGUACUACUUCAAUUAUUUGUUGAACAGAUAGCUUCCAAUUGAAAUCUGUUAGUUUAAUAAGCUGAUGAAAUAAAUCAGUUUACAUCAGUUU